rnacentral:rRNA from 1 species
UGGGGAAUAUUGGACAAUGGGGGGAACCCUGAUCCAGCCAUUCCGCGUGUGUGAAGAACGCCUUAUGUUUGUAAAGCACUUUAAGCUAGGAGGAGGCUACUUUAGUUAAUACCUAGAGAUAGUGGACAUUACUCGCAGAAUAAGCACCGUCUAACUCUGUGCCAGCAGCCGCGUUAAUACAGAGGGUGCAAGCGUUAAUCGGAUUUACUGGGCGUAAAGCGCGCGUAGGCGGCUAAUUAAGUCAAAUGUGAAAUCCCCGAGCUUAACUUGGGAAUUGCAUGCGAUACUGGUUAGCUAGAGUGUGGGAGAGGAUGGUAGAAGUCCAGGUGUAGCGGUGAAAUGCGUAGAGAACUGGAGGAAUACCGAUGGCGAAGGCAGCCAUCUGGACUAACACUGACGCUGAGGUGCGAAAGAAUGGGGAGCAAACAGG